AACAGAGGAGCACCUGUGAUUACUGAUUACCUAAGUUCCUAUAUACAAUAAUAGUUUAAUAAUCGUUAACAAAAUAUUGUAUAUAUAAGUAUUAAUAAUUACUUAUACAAAAGGCUAAAAGCAUUUUGUACCAGCUAACCUAUAGGAGAGAAUAUGAGAAAAAUAAUAAGACUUUAAUCUUUGAUUGCCAUUAUCUGUAGCUUUAUUAAGUGGUAAAGGGACCUAAUUACUACCUAUAUUUUUUUAGUAUUUGUGAUAAUUCAUAGAAUUUAUUAGUUCUAUCAAUAAAUAAAAUAUACAUGCAUUACAAUGUGUUUAAUUCAUUAACUUACAAUUUGCACACUGUGGGAAUGUGUAUGCUUUCGGUUAAAAUAUUCUUCCUCAUUCUGCGAGGGCCUCAGGCCAAAACCCACACCAAUCAAAUAAAUAUCACUAAUACAAGCUUACUAUAAAGGAAAAUUACGAAUUCGGUAAAGAUGGAAACGUAUCUCGUAGGGACGGCUGUCCGGCUGAAAAAUGGCUUGAAGAUCUUGGAGAGAUGCGUACAAGGUCAAUUUCACUUUUAGCAGUAUUUUCUGAAAACGAUCUAACAAUUUCACCCUUUUCUUCGAAAGUUUAAAAUCGCUAAAACGUCAAAAUAUGACAGAUAAGCGAUAUCAAAAAGUUCAACAAAAAUGACAUGAAUCGCGUCAUUCUCCAUUCCGUUCAUUCAUUUUGCGAUCUCGAAACGAUCUUACUAUGUAGCUUGUUUUUAGUGCCAUGUGAAUCGCAAUUUCAUAGCUCGUUCGUAAAAAUCUGAAAACGAGAUGAAAACGAAGUUGUUUUUUGUGACACGAAUCACCCUCCAGGGGCGCGAUUCACAUCUCAACCGAAAUAUUUGUAAAGCGAUACGAACGAGUUACGAGAUGAAAUCCGCAAUGUUUAAAAACGCGAUUCAUAGCACACAUACUUUGAUCUCGUUUUCAUAUCGCUAGUUCGUAUUUGGAUGGCUUGAGUGAAAUGAAUGAAACUAUAUUUUUUUAAUUGCCAUGCAAAAAUAAUAAAUACUACCACUAAUUGUUUUAAAUAAUUUUGUUCCUACAAUAUAUAUUGUUGGAAUUAGUGUCGAUAGCAAGUAUCAAGAAACGGCUUUUUAAUUCAACAUUGAAGAAAUUCAUAACCUGUGGCACUUUUGACAGCCGCCAUGUUUUCUCCAUAAAAGCAAACAUAACAAACAUUGAUUUUCUUUGCUCAUUUUCGUGUCAACGUAGUUUUUUUGGAAAAUAUAAGAAGAAAGGAAGUUUAACUAACUUAGAGAAAUACGACUGAGACAUAAUCAUGAACGAGAUGAACACAAGCAGCAGCCGAUGUGCUUGAGUUGCAGAAGGAGCAACUGCGUUGUGAGAGGGCCACGGCUUCAGCCCUCACAAUGAUAGCUGAAGCAAUGAACAGACAGGCUGCAGUCAAUGAGAGGCUUCUUGAGCAGGGGCUCCUCAUAUGGAAAAAGGCUAAUGAAAGGAACAAUCAAGACCAGACUUAAAGUAAAGAUUUUAGCGGCGACGCAGUUGCGCGACCAGUGAAGCUCUGGCUCCGCGACCGGCGUGGAGCGCGCGGUCCGCGCGGCGGCGGCGCUGCUGCGGCUGCUGCGCGGGAGGAUCCCGUCCCUGCGCAUGCGCCUGGCCUUCAAUGGCCUCACACCUCUCUUCUUCCUCUUCUUCAUGCGUCAAUUCAAACAGAGGAGCACCUGUGAUUACUGAUUACCUAAGUUCCUAUAUACAAUAAUAGUUUAAUAAUUGUUAACAAAAUAUUGUAUACAUACUUAAGUAUUAAUAAUUAUACAAAAGGCUAAAAGCAUUUUGUACCAGCCAACCUAUAGGAGAGAAUAUGAGAAAAAUAAUAAGACUUUAAUCUUUGAUUGCCAUUAUCUGUAGCUUUAUUAAGUGGUAAAGGGACCUAAUUACUACCUAUAUUUUUUAGUAUUUGUGAUAAUUCAUAGAAUUUAUUAGUUCUAUCAAUAAAUAAAAUAUACAUGCAUUACAAUGUGUUUAAUUCAUUAACUUACAAUUUGCACACUGAGGGAA